UACAGAGGUGGCAAGCGUUGUUCGGAAUUACUGGGCGUAAAGGCGCGUAGGCGGCCUUCUAAGUCAGACGUGAAAUCCCCCGGCUUAACCUGGGAACUGCGUCUGAUACUGGGAGACUUGAGUAUGGGAGAGGGAUGUAGAAUUCCAGGUGUAGCGGUGAAAUGCGUAGAUAUCGGAGGAACACCGGUGGCGAAGGCGGCAUCCUGGACCAACACUGACACUGAGGAGCGAAAGCCAGGGGAGCAA
rnacentral:rRNA from 1 species